GACGUAGGUGGCAAGCGUUGUCCGGAAUCACUGGGCGUAAAGGGCGCGUAGGCGGCUCAUGAAGGCUGUGGUGAAAGUCCGGGGCUCAACCUCGGAUCGGCCGUGGCGACUCGUGGGCUGGAGCACUGUAGAGGCGGGUGGAAUUCCGGGUGUAGCGGUGGAAUGCGUAGAGAUUAGGAGGAAUAUCGAUGGCGAAGGCAGCUUUCUGGGACAUUUCUGACGCUGAGGCACGAAAGCGUGGGUAGCAAACAGG
rnacentral:rRNA from 1 species